AAGGCAGGCAGCCACAGCACCUGACCACCACAACCCAUCGAGCUUCCCAUCCGGACCGGACCCCAUCAGGAGCAGAGGCAGAGUCGAGAGUCUCUCAGCGAAGCCACCGUCCGACGCCAUGUGCUACCAGGUGAGGUGCGGCACCUGCGGCAAGACCACGUGGGCCGGGUGCGGCCGCCACGUCGCGUCGGUGCACGCGCAGAUCUCGGAGGGCCAGCACUGCGCCUGCCGCGACUGGCCCGGCGUCGACCCCGCCACCGCCCCGGCCGGCGUCAAGAAGGCCGCCAGCGCCGCUGACGACGCUGGGAAGGACUCCGGCACCGCCGCCUCCACUCCCGCGCAGGGCGGCGCUGCGCAGUGAGGUUCGCGCCGCCCACCGCGUGGUGUUCUGUUCCCUGAGGAUCGGAACCCGCCGUGUCGAACGAACGUGUGGUCAUCCAUCGUUGCCCCGUUUGAGCAUAUCAAUCCCCGUUGGGUCGUGUUUUUCGGGUCUGAGUGGAUUUUUGGCUUUUGAUCUUUUUUUUUCCGGAUUUGAGUCGGGUUUUGGAUCAAAAUCAUGGUUCAUACCCGCUAUAGAUUGUCGUGGAUCAAAAAUUAAUAGUCGGGUCAAAAAAUUUCGUAUAGAUCGAUCGGGUUGGGUCCAAUUUUGAGUUGUCGACACGUUUUGGUUGGACGAUGGAUCGAUGGUAGAGGUUGCCGGACUUGAAAGACUUUGAUCGGAUCAGUAAUCGCAGGACGGGCCAUUUGUCUUCGAAGGUCAACGCACUUACACGAGUGUCGAUAAGGUUUACGGCGGUAAGGGUACGGUGUUUGAUUUUUAGGGUUUAAUUUUUAGUUUCUCUAUCUCAUUCUAUUUUAAUCUUAAAAUUACUAAAUACAAAAAUUUUAAUUUUAUUAUUUAGUAAGUUAGAAACUAAAAUAUAAUAGAAUGAAAGAUAAGCCAAUUUGGCUCACUGCUUGGGUGAGGUAAGCGAUGAGCUGUGCCUCACAUCUCAUGUGACGGCAAUACAGCAUAGGCCAGCCGGAUCGUUAUCUUCCCUAGGCGACUAGGCCCCCUCUCCAAGCAUCGGUUUUGCAGGUCAAAAGGUAACCAGCUCCGCCGGCCUCGGAGACAUCGUCCACAUCGACCCAGAUUUCUUCAGAUACCUUCGCUUCGACUUCGAGUCGAGGGGGAAGCUUCAGCUAGAGGGGCGAAGCCAGCGGGAGCCAUCAGCCAUGUGCUACCAGGUGAAGUGCGGGUCGUGCGGCAAGUCCACGUGGGCGGGCUGCGGCCGCCACGUCGCCUCCGUGCACCGCCAGAUUCCCCAGGGCCAGCACUGCGCCUGCCGCGAUUGGCCGGGCGUUGCCCCGGCCGGCGACAAGGCGGCCGCCGCGGAGGGGCCUUCGUCCACGUCUGUCUGCACCAUCCUGUGAUUUGAGCCCGCGCAUGUUACCUCUGGUGUAGGGGAUGUGCGAUUGUGUACGGUUAUAUUUGUCUCUCUUUUUUUUGCUCUUUUUUCCUAAUCUCUAAAUACAAUACUUCUCUUGCGAGCUCGAAAAAAAUACUUAUCA